rnacentral:rRNA from 1 species
UACAGAGGUCUCAAGCGUUGUUCGGAUUCAUUGGGCGUAAAGGGUGUGUAGGUGGCGCCGUAAGUCGGGUGUGAAAUUUCGGAGCUUAACUCCGAAACUGCAUUCGAUACUGCGGUGCUUGAGGACUGGAGAGGAGACUGGAAUUCAUGGUGAGCAGUGAAAUGCGUAGAGAUCAUGAGGAAGACCAGUGGCGAAGGCGGGUCUCU